rnacentral:tRNA from 1 species
UAGAGUGAAGCUCGUAGAUUUGAGCACUUAGCUGUUAACUAAGACAUCAUAGGAUCAAAACCUAUCAUUCUAG